GAAAGAAUUGACUAUAUAUGUUUAUUUCGUGAAACGAUAAAGGCCCGAACUUAAGAAAAACAGAGGAAAUCGCGGUCACGAAAAGUAUAGUCAAAUUUUCAUGCGGCACGCCAUGAAAACACUUCAUAAUAUCUCUUUAAUAAUCAUGCUAACAACCGUCAUCGCAAUGUCACUGGGAAUGCCCGAACGUACCUUCCCAUAUGCGCAAAUCACUACCCCUGGUUACGAGACGAGCAGUUUAUUUUUGCAGUUUCCUGCUAUCAUAACAUUUCCUGAUAAAACCAGAAAUCCAUGUCUAUUGGGUCAACAACAGGAUAGAUUGGGAAUAUGUCGCGAUAGAGUAUAACAGUGAAGAUGUACAGAUUCAAGAAUAUGAGUGACUUCUAUAAUAUCAUGAUCUAUAAGUAAUAUAAUAAGACAAUGAAAUAAUCAAUGAAAUACAAGAUAAUGAAUGUAUGAAAUUGUGCUAAGAAAAGUUUUUUCACAAUUGA